AACGAACGCUGGCGGCAGGCCUAACACAUGCAAGUCGAACGCCCGUAGCAAUACGGGAGUGGCAGACGGGUGAGUAACGCGUGGGAACGUGCCCUUGGUUCGGAAUAACUCAGGGAAACUUGAGCUAAUACCGGAUACGUCCGUAAGGAGAAAGAUUUAUCGCCGAAGGAUCGGCCCGCGUCGGAUUAGCUAGUUGGUGAGGUAACGGCCCACCAAGGCGACGAUCCGUAGCUGGUCUGAGAGGANGAUCAGCCACACUGGGACUGAGACACGGCCCAGACUCCUACGGGAGGCAGCAGUGGGGAAUAUUGGACAAUGGGCGAAAGCCUGAUCCAGCCAUGCCGCGUGAGUGAAGAAGGCCUUAGGGUUGUAAAGCUCUUUCAGCGGGAAGAUAAUGACGGUACCCGCAGAAGAAG
rnacentral:rRNA from 1 species